GCCACACUGUCUCCACCCGAGACUCAGUGAAAUUGAAAUUGCUGUUAAGAUGCAGUAUACCCGCGGCCAGACGGAAAGACCCCGUGCACCUUUACUACAGCUUUGCAUUGAACUCCGAUUCUACUUGUGUAGGAUAGGUGGGAGGCUUUGAAGCUUGAACGCUAGUUUGAGUGGAGCCAACCUUGAAAUACCACCCUGGUAUGGUUGGGGUUCUAACCUAGGUCCGUUAUCCGGAUUGGGAACAAUGCAUGGUGGGUAGUUUGACUGGGGCGGUCUCCUCCCAAAGAGUAACGGAGGAGCGCAAAGGUACCCUCAGCACGGUCGGACAUCGUGCAAUGAGCGCAAAGGUAAAAGGGUGCUUGACUGCGAGACAGACACGUCGAGCAGGUAGGAAACUAGGUCUUAGUGAUCCGGUGGUUCUGAGUGGAAGGACCAUCGCUCAACGGAUAAAAGGUACGCCGGGGAUAACAGGCUGAUACCGCCCAAGAGUUCACAUCGACGGCGGUGUUUGGCACCUCGAUGUCGGCUCAUCACAUCCUGGGGCUGAAGCAGGUCCCAAGGGUAUGGCUGUUCGCCAUUUAAAGUGGUACGCGAGCUGGGUUUAGAACGUCGUGAGACAGUUCGGUCCCUAUCUACCGUGGGCGUUGGAGACUUGAGGGAAGCUGUUCUUAGUACGAGAGGACCGGAAUGGACACACCUCUGGUGUUUCGGUUGUGACGCCAGUCGCAUUGCCGAGUAGCUAUGUGUGGAAAGGAUAACCGCUGAAAGCAUCUAAGCGGGAAGCCCCUCCCAAGAUAAGGUCUCCCUGAUAUUUUAAAUAUCCUAAAGAUCCCUCGAAGACUACGAGGUUGAUAGGCAUGGUGUGGAAGUGCAGUGAUGCAUGAAGCUAACAUGUACUAAUUGAUCGUGAGGCUUGACCAU
rnacentral:rRNA from 1 species